CUUACUAGACAAGGAGAUCUCCUUACAUCAACCGUCCAGAACAAACCAGAGGAUUGACCUUGACACCUUCUGAAAGUUUCUAGGAUAGCUUUGUGUAUUGUAAGCCAUCCAAAAGACUCUUGGGUUGGAAUGGCAAAGUAAAUAAAGAGUUCCUGAUCAGCUGAUAGACAUCACACCUUUAGGACGAGGGGCACAGACUGGAGUGGAUGGGCCAGAAUUAGUGAGGAAGGGCAUCACUUGAUGAGACAAGGUCAUGGCUAGAUAAGCUGUAUCGGUGAACAGAAUCUGGCAAAAAUUUCUCCUCAUCAAUCCAUCUGGAGGUUCCUCAUCAAUCCAUCUGGAGAAAGUUAUGUGGGUAAUCUAUACCCAUGGAAAUUAGAACAUUUCCACAUUUGUGUGAGCGGGAUUGACUUUAAAAGUGAACUCAGGAGCACAGAACUUUAUUUCAAGGAGGCCCAAUGUUCAGCAGAUAAUCUUUGACAAGCCAGUAUCUUUCGGCUCUACUUCCACAUUUGUAACAUGCAAAUAAGGAAUGUACACACAGAUUGACUUCCUCUGUUGGCUGCAGCAGGAAAGUUGCUAUGAGCAAGAAAGCUUCUGCAUGCACUGACAUUUGCACACCUUGUACAAUCUGUGGACUUGAUGUUGCCCACUUUUACCUAGAAUUCUCUAGGUUUAUCCCCUCUCCAUGCCAAUAUAGGAAUUCUCAAGCAUUAUCAGUGGACCAUGCAGAGGAAUAGCUAUUGGGCUGUCACUUUUAAAACUGAUCAAAGUAAAAGGGAGCUGAGUUCUUUUCAGGCACAGGGAAGUAAAUACUGUAUAUCCCUGAGGUAACACCGUUAUUUCGACUGAUAGGGUAAAUUUGUUUUAGUGUUUUUAACUAAAGUCACUUUGGCUCUGGUUCCCAAAAUGAUAUAUCAGAAUAUUCUAAAGUUUUCCCAGUUGGUUUUUCCAAUGUCAGAUUAAUUGAUUGUGAGGUUUUGAUAUAAAAGAGAAUUGAUUCAGGAUUUUCAAAAGCCUGCAUAUGUUCUACAGUUAUUGCCACUGUAUUCUAAAUUGUUGAAGGAUACUAUCAAGAGAGUGAUGCUCUGCUUGCUUACAGUGAAGUCAUUCUACUGAAUGUGAUGUGCUGACACCAGAAGCAGCUUGCUGGAGAGAGUGGAACAGCUAUGCUCACUUCCAGGCAGAUGAGUUAUUGUUGCUUCCUGGGCAGGAGAGGGGGGGAAGGAGAGGAGAGGUCAGCAUGGUGCAAAUGCAGAGGCAGGAGUGUAUAUUGGUUCUGCCAAUGCAUUUACAUCACACCAGAUUGCCUUGCCCCUCUCCCUCCCAGUAAAAAAUAGUGACCUGCUUUCCAGGAAGCUAGUGUGGCAGCUCUGCCCAUCCACGAAGCCACUUCUGGCUGACACUACUAUACACGGAUAGUGAAUAACCACUAGAAUAUGCUGAGAAUUUCAUCCCUCCAUAUAAGAAAACUUAGGAGGCCUAAGAUUAUUAUAUAUUAAUUUAUUGUAAAAUUAUUCCAAUGAGAUGUUUUCUUAAAGGAAAACUCAUCAGAAUUGUUUUUAAGGCUCUCUUAUGUGGUUUUCUCUAAAGCAAGUGAGAUAAGGGCCUUCUUGAGGUUGGCUCCCUAUUUGUGGAAUGCUGUUACAAAAGGACAUUAGUUACAAAGCAAACAAAGCAAAAUUUUAGAAGUCUCUAGUGUUCUUUCCCCCCAAAGAAAACCAAACCCAGUAGCAUUGUCCCUUUGAUAUUGGGGUGGAGUGUUUUAGGCAGCAGGGUGAACUAUUUUCAACAGGGACUUUGUUCCUGGAGUAGUUCUUCCACUGGAGAGAGGAAGAAGUGAAUGCCAUAUGUCCUGCACAUAACUGUGGUGAGGUGAAGCUGACCUCCCGAAAGCAGCAUUUUCGCUGAUCACCUGGACAGGGCCUGAGUGGAGCAGCAGUGAGGUCAGGGCUGUGGACCAGCAUUGAGGGGAGUGCCACUGUCAGUAUGACACUCUUAUUGGUGCAACCAUGUGGCCUGACCUCACCACUGGCCCGUCCCAGCCCCAGGCAUAUGAGCAGUGGGAAUGCUGGUGUUAAGAGGGGGGCUCCAUGGCUCUGCCACACCCCAUAUGAUGCUGUUGCUGAUAGUUGUGUGGGACAAGGAAAUGGAAUAUCUACAUGUUUAACGGUCUGAGAGGUUUCAAACAGAGGAUUCUUCUCUUCAGUCAUCACAGAUGAGCACUCUCAGGUUGUUUUUGCGACAUCCCUUUUGCAGUCUCACAUCCUUCUGGAGCCAAAACACACUUCUCUACAAUUGCAAACUUGGUGGAAUACUGGCUUUCUGAAAUACUGCUGUAGAAAUCCCAGUGGAAACUCCACCUUGAGGAGUCAAAAUGUAUGUGCCUGUGGCAGAGGACAGUAACAAUCUGUUCUUAAAAAGUGACAAUCUUUAAAUCAGUGUGAUUGGUGUACUGGAAGGAGGCAUAACUGAUUCCAUUUUACAAUGAUUCACUUAGAUUUGUUCCAGAAUGAACCCCUUAACAGAAUUUAUAUAAGAGACAUUGACUAAAACAAUACUGACACCUGCCAAUCAUUGUGAUGAUGAGUCAUUUUGCAUGGCUCAGGCUUUCCCUUACUUAGGGAGCGCAAGUUCAUUUGUAAUCUAUUUAGUGUGGAGCACAUAAUAGUUUUGCUGCUCAUUACAGAUAUAAUCUUGCUUGGCUUAUUUGAUUUGGGUCGCAUCCACACCAUCUGCUUUCAUGCAAAGACACCAUCCAUGCUGAGUGUGUAACUGGCACCCUAUGUGGCUAUUCACAUCUUUCUCCCUUAAUGAAAGAGACACUGGAGACUGUUCCAUGGCAAAAACCACAGAAAAUUGCUUAACUUUGUCAAUAUGCUGGAGAACCUACAGGGUAAACACAGAGCAGUGUCAGCUGUUUCAGAGAGCAGCAACGCUAAAUAUACCAGAAAAGAGUUUUUAAAAACAAAACAAAAUUUGAGCUUCCUGGGGAAUUCCUGGCAAACACGUGAAAGGUCUUCCAGAGCAGCGAUUAAAGCAAAGCAGAAAAUAUUCUCCUUGCCAGCUCUCACUUGCUAAAUAUGCUUCUCGGCUAAUGUUUUUCAUUGAUUUACGGAACUCUUCCAGACUCUUUUUGUUGUAACAGUUUAUGAGAUUGGAAAAGAAACUCUGGGCUUUGCCAGUUUUUCUGCACCAGAAUGGACAAGUUCAGUAGCCAGCGAGGCUAAUUGAGCAGUUGUUUAAAUUUUGUUUUGGCUCCUCUCAUGCAUUUCUCCUUCUGACUUUGCUUUAGCAUCCAUGACUCGCCUGCUCACAACUGUUGAUGCAAAGAGUUUCUCCCUUGCUGCUGACACCAUCUGGAACUGCCAUUCUAUAUUUUCCCAGCUCAUCAAUUAUUCUGAUUAAAAAGCUCAAGAUAACAGAAUUUCUUAAAAAAGAAAAACCAAAACAAAGUCAAUCACAAGCUCAAAUGCUCUCCCCGCUUUGAAGUCUUCUUUGUGCCUGAAAAACAUCACCCCCUGUUCUCCAUUUAUCAUGCCCUUGUUCUCUCCUCUUUUGACUCAAGGAAAUUCACUUCACCAAAAUUCUCCCGAAACCACCUGAAGCAGGGAUGCAGAACCUGUGGCUUUCCAGAUGUUAUUGGACUACAACUCCCAUUAUCUCUGCCCAUUGGCCAUGCUGGCUAAGUUGAUGGGAGCUGGAAUCCAAAAAUAUCUGGAAGGUCACAGCUUCCCCAUCCUCUUACCUGCAUGUCUGAUGCCAAUGUCAACUGGCACUCAAUGCCCAACCCCUCCAUUACUCAUUUCUUGAAAGAUCUUCUCCUUCACGUGUAUCCAAUGGUGUGGUUCGCACAUACAUACACUUCACAUGGUUUCUCAUGGUGCACCAUUGACUGGAUGUAUGAAUUGAUUGCUUGAAAACUAGCUGUCAAUAUUACAUUAAAGCUGUAACUGUGACUUGUUACUGUGAUGGAUUUUGAAAGUCACUCCUUGACACUGCAGUCAUCUAGUGAUGGUCAUUCAUGUAUUAGCCAGCCCUAAAUAAUUUUGUAAGUGCAUGUAUUUGUGACAUAUCUGUUAAGGCUGUAACUCAGGGGCAGAGCAUCUGCUUUGCAUGCAAGAGGUCCCAGUUCAAUAUCCGGCAGGAUUGUCCAGUGUCAUGGGUGGGGGGAUUAUAGAUCCUUUACAUUUCUGGGAGCAGGAUCCCAGCAAGAUCCUUGUCCUUUUGUGCUGAUUGGAGCCAAUCAGAGUGAAAGGAGCUGAGUCA